GAGCCUGAUCUUACAAAUGUUUGGAUGUCCUGGGUAAUGUGAUUUCCAGAAGUUGGUGAAGGGUUUUCUGUGGAAAACUGCAAGAGCUUUGCAUUCAAACACACCAGUUCUGGAUCAUUCAGUCUUCACAGCUCUGUUACUCUCUAAGCAACAAAUGUCUUUCUUUCUAAACACCGCUGAGAAUCUGAACUACUUUCUCAUCUCCUCACACGCCAAAAUUUUUGGAAGCAGCACUCAGUAUGUCACAGUUUCGAGACAAAUGAAACACAAGGGUUUCCUCCCCAGCUCAUCAUUGCCUUUCUCGAUGCCCAUGUGUCUUGGUGGAAGCACGUGCAAGCAAGGGCUUGCGUGUGACCACUGGAAAACAGGGGAGCCCAUGCUAAUGCCUCACUUUUGUGAGAUGAGAACACUUUAUCUGAAUGCAAAAACAGUGUAGGUGCUGGUGCCUUUCCCAAGGGAGCAGGUUUCACAGGAAUACAAGGCUACAGCAAAAGACCACAACUCACCUACUACUUCUAUUGGAUGAGGACGCAAAGGCCUCCGGUGGAGAACUAGCAAAUCACCCACAGCCAGAGGUGGAUAAUUAUUUGAGGGAGAUGAUGCCCAUUGGGUUAGCUGAGAGGAGACUAACAACACUUAAAGUACAAGGAGGCAUGGGGACACGUCAAGAAACUAACCUCCCUGUGCACAAGGCAGUGCUGUGGUAUGAACACACUCCUGGCACAAAGACACAUAUUCAAAAGGCUCAUGGCUCCUGUGGGACUGAGCAUUGAACGCCUGAACUGUAACAGAAUUUAUCUCUGCUCACCAGCCAGGAGAGGAAGCCCAUGCCACAGAGGUCCUAUUUUCAGAGCUCCCUCCAAUUUUAAUGGUCUGACAGAUCCACAAAGAGAAAAAAAAAAAUUCUGUGUGGAUUAACUUUACUUUCCUCAGCUCCACCACUUUAUCGUGGCUGCAAGACAACACUACCUGACAAGAAGAAAACAUACUAGAAAAACAUGAAAGGAAAAAAAGAGAGAUGCUCUACCCAUCAGUGUUGUUCUUAUUGCUUACAUUCCCUUCUCCACCUCCUUGAAGCUAACUUUACACGGAAACUAUGCUGGUUUUCCCCCUUGAGGAGGAGACAUCAUGCAUCUUGUGGCUGAAUGUGUGGUUAAGAGGCUCCUCACUCCAGAACGUCUGUGGGUCUCCUGCAGGGCUGAAUGCAUCACACAGGGCAACUGAUUUUUGAACCAGUUCAACAUGCCAUUGCUUGUGCAAAACACGUGUCCGGCCACCAGGCUUGCAUAAAUUGGCUGUAAAUAGUUAAUUAAAUGCAUUUGUACCCCACCACCUGAUUUGCAUGCAGAAUUGUCAAAACAGCCUGCUAAGAUUAGACACAAUGUACUCCCCGAACACAAUUGUACCACUGAAACAGUCUGAAAAUCUGGCGCAUUGAGUUAAAUUUUCACAUUGUGCCUUCUUGUGUAAUAACAAUAAUCUCCUCUGCCUUGGAGUAUAAUCGUAAUAAAGAGCUUUUUGUGAUUCAUUCAGUGUUUAUUCACUCAGUAAACAGCCCUUUAUUGCUUUUUAUACUACAAAGCAAAUGAGAUUAUUGCUUAAAUUGUCCGGUAGCGACUAGCUUCUGUCCUCUGGCUUGCUUGUUCAGUUUGUUUUUGUGUUGUGGUUUUGGAAAAGAAAACUUGUUUAAAAUUAGCUCCCCAAUAAAUCACAGUAACAAUGAAGUGAGAGUUUCUGCAGUGUGACAGAUUUGUAGCUUUUUAUGUUUGUAAUGAUGAUGAUAUGUUUUCUAGCUUAUUUAUUCCCUUCUGCCUUUAUUCUCCCAAACUCUGAAGUCUGCUGCAGAGAAGAAAACCCUAAGAUGUUGGAGUCUGGGAAGUGGAAACUUUCAGGCUGCAUAGCUGCUUCGGUGGUAUUCUCAGGAUUAAAAGGUGCAGGAAAGAAGCAAAGAAAGUUAACAGGCAGAAGCCUGAUGCUCAGAGUUGAAAAGCAACAAUUUUAGUUCAUGUCCUAUCCUGCACCUAAAAAGCUCGAAUGAUUUCCUUCACACAUCUUUGCCUUUACAAUAAGAUUGAUGAUGUUAUCUUCUUUGGAAAGUGCCCCAAGAUCUUUGGAUGGUUAGCAAUAAACAUUCAAUUCAACAUUCAUUAUUCAAUGACUCUCCAAAUAGUUCCCAAGAGCCGUUGCUCUUAACACACAUCUCCUCAUGAAGAUGUAUGGUGGAGCUGCUCUGCAGGCCUCAAAAGAGAAGGACUAGAAACAUCGUAUUUUUUAUCAUGGAGAAGAACAAGUCAGAUGUAAACAACUCUUGAUCAUUUCCUCCAUUCCUGAGUGUGCAAAUGGAGUGUCGCAUAAUUAUUCCUUAUCAUGAGGCCAAGUGGUGUAUUCACAAAGACAGACUUAUUUCUUUUUUUCAGGCAGUAACACGUAAAUGGCAUUUCUUAUUUCAGUCCUGCCAACUUUCAGACCUUAACAAAGCAUUUCACUGAUACUUAUUGAUUUUUUUGUAUUUAUAGAAAUCUAGGACCUAGUACAAUUCAAUAUUCAGGAGAUGCCAAUUUUCUAUGAAUACUUGAGAAUGACUUGGUCAUUUUCCAUUUCUGUAAUUGCUUCUGUAUUGCUGGGACACGAAUUGCAUUCUUUAAAAUCCACGUAGAAAAGGAACGUGGGUGAGGAAGCUGUGCCUGACUUUCUUUCUUUUUACUGAAGGCAGGCAAGUUGUUUUCAAUUUGGACACUUUAGAUAUUAAUGUCCAACUUCUUCUACUCUCACCUAGUGCCAGCUUCCACACUCAAACACGUACCUUAAAUUAAUUGAUCAAGAAUUGCAAAUUUGGACUCUCAAACUGUUAAACAUGCAACUAGGUCUGAAUUUGCUUUAAUGGACUCCAUAUUUUCUACAGGAGCCUGCAUUUAGCUAAUCUUGACAGCUUUUGAGUGACCAUUUUUCUUCUUUGGGUAACGGAGUUUCCUAGAUUUAGCUCUUUUUCCUCUUCUGUGCUGCUACAUUCAGUUGUCUUAUUAGUCUAUAGCAUCAAUUUUCACCCUAACCUAGACAGUGACAUGGUUCUUGAACAAAGCAGAUCAAGCGGCAGCUCCACUGCAGUCCCCAGCAAUACCUCAGCCCGCUGGCACUAGAAAUGAGACGGUACGUGCCCAUUGAGCUUGAAAUAUGGUUCAACAUCUCAGAGACAAAGGACCUGGCCUAGUUGUUCUCAGGAUAUAUCUAUGACACAUCACUUAGUACCUACCAUGUGCUUGACCUUGCCCACUGCACGGCUUACGUGCUGCAGAGGUUGAACUCACUUGUCACACAGACAUCUGCCAGUACUUGGAAGUGAGAAUACA